rnacentral:tRNA from 2 species
GGUCCCAUAGUUUAUCGGUUAGAAUGCUGGGUUUUCACCCCGGUGGGACGGGUUCGAUUCCCGUUGGGACUACCA